AGAGAUACCCCUGGGGGCCGGUACGGCAUCGGGAGUGGGGCCCUCCCACUCCAAGGCACAGGGAGGGAGGGGAAGUGGCAGUGGGGAAGAGGUGGGGCUUUGGGGCAAGUCUGAGGGAGAGCGGCUCCCUUCUCUAGAGAGUGGGGUGAGGGUGCAGGUUCCUGUCUCUCUCCCGCUGCCCUGUGUGUUGUGGGGUGGCCUCUUCAAGUGCCUGUCUGCCCCUGUGCCAGCCUGCCCUGUGUGCCAUGCAGGGAAGCACCUCACGGUGGAGCAGGGGCUACACCGUGAGGGUGGAGCAGGUUGUGUUUUGAAUAGAGACAAAAGCCUGGGCUCUGGCUGCCAUCUGCUGCCUUUGGCACUUCUGUGGCCACGGGCAGGACCUGGAGGGGCCCCACCUUCCUCUCUCACAGCAGCGAUGGGGAUACAGACAGCGUCAGCACCAUGGUGGUCCACGACGUCGAGGAGAUCACCGGGACCCAGCCCCCAUACGGGGGCGGCACCAUGGUGGUCCAGCGCACCCCUGAAGAGGAGCGGAACCUGCUGCAUGCUGACAGCAAUG
rnacentral:lncRNA from 10 species